rnacentral:sRNA from 1 species
GCCGCGAGUCCCCUUCGCCCCGCUUGCGGGGAGAAGGUGCCGGCAGGCGGAUGAGGGGCGAUCCGGAGGCGCUCUAUCAGAGCGUGCCGAUCAGUUCGCGGUAAGCGGCCUCUGGGAAGGCCUUCAGCGUACGCGUACGCACAUUGCCGUUCAUGCCGAGCGUGAUAGCGAACCGCGCGGCGACUGCGUCGUCAGGCGCUUCGCAGAUCGCAACCAUGUCGUGUUCGCCCAUCGUCAGGUAGAAGUCCUUGAAGGAACCGCCCAUCUCCUCGAGCUGCCUCCUUGCCGCAUCGAGCCGCUUCGGGGACUCGCGCACAUUUCUGAUACCGAGCUCAGUCCAAUUGAGAAGCAGAACGUAAGUCGUCAUCUCACACCUCCCGCAAAGCAUCCCGCCUUCGGCCGAAGGCGCUCAAGAUGCCCUGUAUCUGAAAAAGGCCGGCGCGCAUUCACGCAUUCAUGUGCGGCCUCGGGACGCAAAGUAUAAAGCAAUUCGAGGAAAAUGACGUACGGUUUUGCGCCGGGAGUAG